rnacentral:rRNA from 1 species
GAUGAACGCUGGCGGCGUGCUUAACACAUGCAAGUCGAACGGUAAGGCCCUUCGGGGUACACGAGUGGCGAACGGGUGAGUAACACGUGGGUGAUCUACCCUGCACUUCGGGAUAAGCCUGGGAAACUGGGUCUAAUACCGGAUAGGACUCCGGACUGCAUGGUCUGGGGUGGAAAGCUUUUGCGGUGUGGGAUGGGCCCGCGGCCUAUCAGCUUGUUGGUGGGGUGAUGGCCUACCAAGGCGACGACGGGUAGCCGGCCUGAGAGGGUGACCGGCCACACUGGGACUGAGAUACGGCCCAGACUCCUACGGGAGGCAGCAGUGGGGAAUAUUGCACAAUGGGCGCAAGCCUGAUGCAGCGACGCCGCGUGAGGGAUGACGGCCUUCGGGUUGUAAACCUCUUUCAGCAUCGACGAAGCGAAAGUGACGGUAGGUGCAGAAGAAGGACCGGCCAACUACGUGCCAGCAGCCGCGGUAA